rfam:Crassostrea gigas strain 05x7-T-G4-1.051#20 contig1287, whole genome shotgun sequence.
CACCAGAUAGCUCAGUUGAUAGAGCACCUGACUAGAGAUUCAGGGGGCCCAGAUUCAAAUCCCGGUCUGGUCC